CAAAGGAGCACCGCUCAGCGGUCACUUGGCCUUCUGGCAAGAAGCCACACAUGACACGCGCACAGAGGAGAUGCGCGGACUCGCAGAUCUACAAGAUUUACGACCAGCAACAGCAAGGAUUGCAGCAAAACGUAUGGAAGCUGAACAAGAUCUGUGAAUCUUACCUCGCCUGCCUUGACGGCGAGGAUGUGAGGGGUGAAAGCGAUGCCCCAAGAACCUGCACGAGCGAAGAAACGAGCACAGCACGAGUAAGAAGCAUGUACGCAGAGGCAGGCAGGGCUUUAGUACGAGAGAGAGAGAGAGAGAGAACAUGUACCCAGGGCCUCGAACUGCUUCUUCUUGCCGGAGCCGGGGGGCCGGCCGCGGCGCUUGGCGCUGGGGUCGGACGGGGGGCUACCGAUGGAGAACCCGCCGUGCUGCUGCUGCUGCCCGGGGGCUGCGGCGCCGCCGCCGCCGCCGGCCGAGGCGGAAGAGAUGGGGGCCAGCGCCAGAGCCAUGCUCCCGUCGGGCGCGUACUUGCGCGGCCGCCCGCGCUUCUUGCGCAUCAGUUCGCCCAUGCCGAGCACACUGCCCCCCGGCGCACCCGCGCCCUGCGGUGGCGCCGCGUACAGCAUGGGCGGCGCCGCGUGGUGGUGGUGGUGGUGCUGCUCCCCGGGCGCCUUCCCGGGCAUAUGGUCGAACGAGAGGCGCAUGCCGCCGGGCAUGGACGCGGCGGGCGACGAGGCCGCCGCCGGGGCCGCCUGCUGCGGGAACGGCGGCGGCGGCGGCUGGUGCUGGUGCUGAUGCUGCGGCUGCGGUGGCUGGUGGUGGUGCUGCUGCGGCUGGGGCGGCUGCUGCUGCUGCUGCUGAGAGGCCGGUGCAAGCACGGGCGCCGCGGCGGCGGCGGCAAGCGGCGACACGUCCUUGGUCUCCAUUUUGCGUAGAUCUAUCCGCUUGGCAGCUUCCGCGUCCUCGUCUCGUCGCCGCUGCCGCUGUGCUUCACAGUGGCAGUGGUCCUGUCGAGCUUGGACUCACAGGCAGCCCAAGCAGGCUCCUCAGCUUUGACCAGACAAGCUGGAGCUGAUCAGAGACCUUGUCCUUCUCCUCCUCCCAGGACUGCGAGGCUAGCUAAGGCUGCCUAGAGCACUAGCGGUAACAUGGAAGUUAAGCCAGAAACCGCACCCUUUUAGGUCCCGUUUCAAUCUCACGGGAUAAACUUUAGCUUCCUGCUAAACUUUAGCUAUAUGAGUUGAAGUGCUAAAGUUUAGUUUCAAUUGCCACCA
rnacentral:misc_RNA from 1 species